CGACGUUUCUCAAGCAAGUUUCGGUACUCUUUUUUUUUCCAACCCAAGUCAGGUUUGGUUCUCUUUAGCUUGUCUUCUGAAUCGAUCUCCCUGCUCCCUCUGCUCUUUCUUCGCCUUCGCCUUUGCCUUCGCCCCAACUACUUCGGAGAUUGUACAGUUACAUUCCGGACCAAAGGCACGACUUGGUCUCGAACUUCUUGGAAAGAGAGAAAGAGAGAGAGAGAGAGAGAACAUGGAGGUGGUUGUUGUUAGUACAUGUUGGUUCAUAUAUGAGUGGAGGUAGAGUACCUGGCCCUGCCUGACGGGUUCAGGGGAUAGAAGCCGGCAACGGGCAACAGGCAACAACAACAACAACGCCGACGUCGUCGUCAUCAUCAUCAUCAUCAUCACUAUCAUUGCCAUGGACUGUUGGUGCCCAGGUCUUGUGUGUCUCUCCCUUUCUUUGGCUUUGUUGCCUGGGUUUGGGCCUGAGGCUUCUUUGAAUAAGUCUCCCCGCUUUUCGGCCAGGUUUCGUCUCCGACUCUGUCUUUCGUUCGUUCGAUCGUUCUUUCUUUAUGAUGAUAAGCUUUGGAGAGUUCAAGAACACCUUAUCUCAUCCCAGUCAUUGACAACUCCUCCGAGGACCGGGCCAGACGUCAACCAGAAAGAGUAGUGUGGCUUUGGUGCUUUGGUGUCAAUAGUUUGAUCGUGGGCAGAUCUUAUUAAUGGAAUACAUGCAAGAAUAUUACAAGUACAACAAACGCCAUCAGCACCACCUUCUUCUUCUUCAUCAUCAUCAUCAUCAUCCAAACCUCCUGAUUGGCCACCUUCGAAACGAGAUCAACCAGCUGUAAAAAUCAACCUCGUUCGAACUCGCCGUUGUCGGAGAGCUCAAGAGCUGCAGCUAGACGAGGAUCGUUGUCCUCUUGCUGGACAGAGGAUGGGCGAUCGACAAUGUCACAAAGCUCGCUUCGACCCUCGCAUGAAUGGAGAAAUACAAGGUUGCUGAAGUUGUCUUGAAAGGACAGGAAACUGAGAUUCUUUUCGGCCCCAUUCAUCUUGGACCUCGUUGAUGUUUUUUCCGAGGAUAUGCCACCAUUUUCUUGCCUUUCAACGCCUUUGGAAUUCGUUCUUCCAAUACGGAUGUCUCCAAUUUCAUGAGGAAGUUCAUCUUUUAAUGCAUGAUGGGGCUUCCUUGGUGGGAUUUGUUCUCAAAAGGGGCAACAAAACAAAGAAAGAAAGAACGAACGAACGAACGAACGAGAAGAAAGAGGCAGUAACAACUCCACAUGGCCAGACAUCCACAUGCAUGGGAAAACGAGGUCUUUGUUCUAAGUCAUAUCCGAGAAGGGGUUCCAUGCUGAUUCGCAUUAUGAACUUCGAUUAGAUUUCUCUCCUCAAUGCUCCUUCUCUCUCUCUUUCUCCCUGUCUGUACUCUCCUCCCUUCAUGGGUUACAAGAACAUGGAGAACCAACUAACAACAAACCAACCAACCAACCAACCAACCAACCAACCAACGAGUGGGUAGUGUACAGUAGUGGUGGUUGCGAGAUUGGACAAAGACGGGGGCUUCUGGAGAAAUGAAUUGGGCCUGGGCUUGCCUUUUGAUCGGCCUCUGGAAUUUAUUAAUUUACCUUUGAACAUUCCAACGCGGGAUCUCAUUGGACACAUCCACUAAAUCUCGGGGCCUGAGCAAGAGUGCUGCAAGACCAAUUUGGAUGGGGUAGUAAAGUUUUGUACCCAAAGAAGUAGGACACG